rnacentral:rRNA from 1 species
AACGCGAAGAACCUUACCUGGGUUUGACAUACACCGGAAAGCCUCAGAGAUGGGGCCCCUUUUGUCGGUGUACAGGUGGUGCAUGGCUGUCGUCAGCUCGUGUCGUGAGAUGUUGGGUUAAGUCCCGCAACGAGCGCAACCCUUGUCUGCUGUUGCCAUCAGGUAAUGCUGGGCACUCUGCAGAGACUGCCGGUGAUAAACCGGAGGAAGGUGGGGAUGACGUCAAGUCAGCAUGGCCUUUAUGUCUGGGGCUACACACGUGCUACAAUGGCCGGUACAAACCGUUGCGAUCCCGCAAGGGGGAGCUAAUCGGAGAAAGCCGGUCUCAGUUCGGAUUGCAGGCUGCAACUCGAGUGCAUGAAGCUGGAAUCGCUAGUAAUCGUGGAUCAGCUACGCCACGGUGAAUACGUUCCCGGGCCUUGUACACACCG